rnacentral:tRNA from 1 species
AGGCGAUUGGUGAAACGGGUAGACACAAGUUACUUAAAAUAACUCGGAGAAAUCCUUAGGGGUUCGAAUCCCCUAUCGCCUACCA